rnacentral:rRNA from 1 species
UGGGGAAUUUUCCGCAAUGGGCGAAAGCCUGACGGAGCAAGACCGCGUGAGGGAGGAAGGCCUUUGGGUUGUAAACCUCUUUUGUCAGGGAAGAAAAAAAUGACGGUACCUGACGAAUCAGCCUCGGCUAACUCCGUGCCAGCAGCCGCGGUAAUACGGAGGAGGCAAGCGUUAUCCGGAAUCAUUGGGCGUAAAGCGUCAGUAGGUGGCCAAGUAAGUCUGCUGUCAAAGACCACAGCUUAACUGUGGAAAGGCAGUGGAAACUGCAGGGCUAGAGUACGGUAGGGGUAGAGGGAAUUCCAGGUGUAGCGGUGAAAUGCGUAGAGAUCUGGAAGAACACCGGUGGCGAAAGCGCUCUACUGGGCCGUAACUGACACUGAGGGACGAAAGCUAGGGGAGCGAAAGGGAUUAGAUACCCCUGUAGUCA